rnacentral:rRNA from 1 species
GUAGGUGGCAAGCGUUGUCCGGGAAUUAUUGGGGCGUAAAGCGCGCGCAGGCGGUUCUUUAAGACUGAUGUGAAAGCCCACGGGCUCAACCGUGGGAGGGUCAUUGGAAACUGGAGAACUUGAGUACAGAAGAGGAAAGCGGAAUUCCACGUGUAGCGGUGAGAUGCGUAGAGAUGUGGAGGAACACCAGUGGCGAAGGCGGCUUUCUGGUCUGUAACUGACGCUGAGGCGCGAAAGCGUGGGGAGCAAGCAGGAUUAGAUACCCUGGUAGUCCACGCCGUAAACGAUGAGUGCUAAGUGUUAGGGGGUUUCCGCCCCUUAGUGCUGCAGCUAACGCAUUAAGCACUCCGCCUGGGGAGUACGGCCGCAAAGGCUG